AUUGAACGCUGGCGGCAUGCUUUACACAUGCAAGUCGAACGGUAACAGGCCGCAAGGUGCUGACGAGUGGCGAACGGGUGAGUAAUGCAUCGGAACGUGCCCAGUCGUGGGGGAUAACUACUCGAAAGAGUAGCUAAUACCGCAUACGAUCUAUGGAUGAAAGCGGGGGACCGUAAGGCCUCGCGCGAUUGGAGCGGUCGAUGUCAGAUUAGGUAGUUGGUGGGGUAAAGGCUCACCAAGCCAACGAUCUGUAGCUGGUCUGAGAGGACGACCAGCCACACUGGGACUGAGACACGGCCCAGACUCCUACGGGAGGCAGCAGUGGGGAAUUUUGGACAAUGGGCGCAAGCCUGAUCCAGCAAUGCCGCGUGCAGGAAGAAGGCCUUCGGGUUGUAAACUGCUUUUGUACGGAACGAAACGGCUCUGGUUAAUACCCGGGGCUAAUGACGGUACCGUAAGAAUAAGCACCGGCUAACUACGUG
rnacentral:rRNA from 1 species